rnacentral:tRNA from 2 species
GGCUCCGUGGUGAAGUUCAUGUUGAGUUGCAAGCUCAUCGAUGUGCACGAGAGUGUGCCGGGGCCU